GUCAAAGGAACCUAUAAUAAAAGACCCGUUGAUUAAUUUAACGGCUCUCUUUAAUAUAAUAGAUCUAAUAUUAGAGAUAAAGGGUCUCUUAUGUAUCAUAGGGCCCACCAAAAGAUGGAGGAAAAAAAACAAGAGAUCCCUAAUUGACUCAACAGGUCUCUUAUAUGUGUAAGGGCCCACCACUUAAAGGAUUGAUAUCAAACCCUAUUUCUUUCUCUUCAUAUUCCCCAUUUCCCAUCACUAUUAUUCAGUAUUCACGCCGCUUCCCUUUUCUCUUUCAUUCUCCUCUCAUUUUAUUUUAUUUUUGAAGCAAAAAAUGCUGCUUCCACCUCCUUCUUAACGUCGGUGGUCGCUUCCAUCACCUCCUCAAUGCCGGCGUCGCUUCCUCUUUUUGCCAUAGGAGAAAUUGCGCCACAACCUCUUCCUCCUUAACACGCUGUUGCUGCCUUAUUUUAUUUCACCACUAAUUCACCGUCAAUCAAAGCUUAAAUUUAAUUAAAGAUAAAUUUUGACCAUGAAAACUCCAAAUCUGAAGUUUUCGUGGUUAAAUUUGGCCAACAAGCCAAAAUUUAAGUGUUUAAAAAGGAUAUGAACUAGCAAUGGCGACGAAGAAGACGAUGAUAAUAGCUGAUUAGUGGUGCUCCAAGUGUAUAGACGAACAUAAUGGCGACUGGUUCUUUAAUUACUUUGAUGAGAUUUGUUGAUGUCGUUACAAUCAAACAAAAAAGUAGCAAAUGGAGUACUCAAGUCUAAUUACUGUAAUUUUAAUUGUAAUUGUAAAUUUCAAUAGAUUCAAACAAUUUUUUUAGUUGGGAUUUUAUGUUCAUUGAUUUUUUUUUUUCAUCUCAUCAAUUUUAAUUGUAAUUUGCAUGUUACAUAAAAAUUAAGUAUACAAAUUACUAAUACUACCAAUUUAUAAUUUAGCUCCUCAAUUUUGCUAAUUUGUAUAGAGUGUAAAAAUAAAAUUAAUUAAAAUGCAAACCGCAAAUAAAAAAUAAUAAAAAUAAAAAAAUAUUUUUUUUUCAAAAUAUAAAGAACAAAGAGACCCGUUAUUUGACCCGACAUGUCUGUUUCAUGUAGUCAAACAAACCCCUUAUAUCAAACAACGAGUCUCUUACUGUUCCAAAACUAUCAUCUCACCGCGUAAAUAACGGACCCGUUGUCACUGAUAACGAGUCUCUUUGUCCGUACAAACAGACCCCUCAUCAGAACAGGUCUCUUAAUCAAAGAGACCCCUAAGAUAGAGACCCGUUCAGAAGUGGUCUCUCAAGCAUGUUUCAACGGGUCUCUUUGCCCAUUUUUGUAGUAGUGAGACAUCAUUGGUCGGCGGCCUACAGGCGGCACUGGCUAGUCUGGGCGGCGAGCUGUCUUGGGCGGCAGUGAGCUUGCAUGCUCACGUAGGAAGCAGGAAAGAUAAAGAAAGAAAAAAAAGAAAAAGAAAAGGGAAAGAAAAAAGAGAGGAAAGAAAAAUAAAAGAGAAAAGAAAAUACUAACCUUUUGUGUGGGGAAAAUUUUGGGGAUGUAUAAGGUAUUUAUAGGAGAGGGAGUUGUUAUGUAAGUAGGAAUAUUGGGUCAAUGGGCCAAUUAAGGAAUAAAAAUAGACAUAAAUUGUAGAAUGAAGGUUCAUAAAAUAAUUUGUACCAAAAUAAUUUUCGAACCAAAUUAAUAAUUUGAAACUUGAAAUUAAAUUCUAGAAAAAUACAGAUAAAUAUUAUAAAUAAAAUAAAAUUUCAUUUAUAAAUUGUUUAAAAAUACGUGGGAUUACAGAUUAUGCCCCAAGACGUGGACAUGUUAUUUCUAAUUAUCAGACAAAUUUUUCUCGAGGCGUGGAAAGUUGUUGGUGGUUGCACACUUCUCGAGGCGUAGAAGUUGGCGAUAAUUCCCAAGGCGUGGAAAAUAUCAUUCCCGAGGUGUGGAAAAAAUAUCAUCUAACAAAAUUCCGAGGCGUGAAAAAAAUCAUCUAAUAGUAUUCUCGAGCCGUGGAAAACUAUCAUCCCGUGGAUUUCUGAAGGCGUAGAAAACUAUCAAACAUAUUUUCCACCGAUUCACUAGUUCCGAUUCACUAAUGUAAUUUGAUUGUGAAUGUUUAGCAAUAUUGAAUUGAUGAAUCGAGCAGAUGU